rnacentral:rRNA from 1 species
AGUGAACGCUGGCGGUAGGCCUAACACAUGCAAGUCGAACGGCAGCACAGUAAGAGCUUGCUCUUACGGGUGGCGAGUGGCGGACGGGUGAGGAAUACAUCGGAAUCUACUUUUUCGUGGGGGAUAACGUAGGGAAACUUACGCUAAUACCGCAUACGACCUACGGGUGAAAGCAGGGGAUCUUCGGACCUUGCGCGAUUGAAUGAGCCGAUGUCGGAUUAGCUAGUUGGCGGGGUAAAGGCCCACCAAGGCGACGAUCCGUAGCUGGUCUGAGAGGAUGAUCAGCCACACUGGAACUGAGACACGGUCCAGACUCCUACGGGAGACAGCAGUGGGGAAUAUUGGACAAUGGGCGCAAGCCUGAUCCAGCCAUACCGCGUGGGUGAAGAAGGCCUUCGGGUUGUAAAGCCCUUUUGUUGGGAAAGAAAAGCAGCAGGUUAAUACCCCGCUGUUCUGACGGUACCCAAAGAAUAAGCACCGGCUAACUUCG